rnacentral:lncRNA from 1 species
GACAUUUUUAUCCACUUUGGCUGCAGCACAUUGGAUCAUUCGGUGAAGAAAUGCCGACACCAGGAACUCCAGCGUGCCCACGUAGUCCCGCUCCGUCUUGAGCAGCUCGUUGAGGACGCACACGCGCAAGCGAAGCUGCUUCUCCAAGUCCUUCCCGCUCUCUCCCUUGCCUUCCCCUUUGCUUUCCUCCGUCAUGGUGCGGCGCGGAGUAGCGGGGCUCGCAGCCGGGCUG